CCCUUAGAUGUUCUGGGCUGCACACGUGCUACACUGGCAGGUUCAACGAGCUUCAUGCCCUGAUCUGAAAGGAAUGGGAAAUCUUUUCAAAACCUGCCGUGCUUGGGAUAGAUGUUUGCAAUUAUUCAUCUUCAACGAGGAUUGCCUUGUAAGCGCACGUCAUCAGCGUGCAUUGAAUACGACCCUGUAUUCUGUACACACCGCCCGUCGCUCCUACCGAUUGAAGUUUUCGGUGAGUUGACAGGAGGAUUUUUUUGAAACUGGUUCGCCAGUGGAUUUUAGAUCCAAAUGCCAACGAAUCGAUGGCUUUAGAGGAAGGAGAAGUCGUAACA
rnacentral:rRNA from 1 species